rnacentral:tRNA from 1 species
GGGCCUAUAGCUCAGCUGGUUUAGAGCGCACGCCUGAUAAGCGUGAGGUCGAUGGUUCAAGCCCAUUUAGGCCCA